GUUUGAGUUGUCAUUUACAGUUUGGAACAUUGUGUUCAAGGACUAAACAACAACUCACGAUAGAGUCGGAUUUUACAUCAAUACUGACUUGGUACAAAGACAGAGAGAGGCGAAACACCACUAAUCCUCGUUAUACACACAUAAAAAAACAUUGCCACUGAAUCAAAGAGAGAAAAAAGAUCUAUAAUAGUAAAGCAGAGAUCCUCGGAGGUCUGUGAAACGUUUGUUACUGAGUAAACCCGACGUGAUUUAAAGUUGCUAACGGUCUAUCUUAUUAUACUUGCCACUAGUUCGCAGCCAAACUAGAUAUUAGCGCAUGUUUGAAGUGAGCAGUCGACUCGUGUGUGUUUUACUAGUAGCGUACAGUGUGUAUCCGGGCUUAUAAGUCACUACAUAUCAGGCGAUAUAUUAUAACAACAUGUGGAAUUUACUAGCCGUCUUCCAGAUAUUGAUUCUUUAUGUCAGCGUCAGCUUGGAACAAUCAUGCCCAAAAAAUCCGCAGGCAGAAAUCUCCACCUGUUUGACUAAUAUGGGAUUGAACCCCGAAAUGGCGGGCGGAAGCACUCUGGUGACAGACACAGACAGGGCCAAAAAAGUCUGCAAAGAUGGUACCCUGGAUCAAGCUAUAAAGUGUAUGGAAAACGUCUUCACAGCCUGCAUACAACACAAACAAACCGACAGUCUCGAAAAACUUGUCAAUAUUGAAAGAUGGAGAACCGGCAUGAACCUUCUGUGUGAUAAUAUAAACGAUUUGAUCGGAAAUGAUCAAUGUAUUCGUGAUGCUAAUGUACAGAGCCAGGUUUGUGUAUCUCGGGAAUCUACAGAAUUUCGAAGCAAGUUAAAGAUUAAAGUUAUGGGUGGUGAAACAAGUCCGGAUGAGAUUAUGACAUUUAGUUGCAUAUUUGCCGAUAGAAUAGUCGGGUGUACGAGAAGACUAUUAUCUGAUUAUUGUCCAGCCAAUGUUAGAGAUGUUAUGACGGGAGUGGUUCAAUCCUUUAUGCCACCUAUCUGUGAUCCUUAUUGGGGCAGUGCCACGUCCAACUCGAAUGUACCUAAAAUAUCACUAUCAGUGAUCUUCAUAUCGUGUGCUAUUAUGGUGAAUUUUUGUUAAUAUUGUUUGUUGGCCUUGCCUGUGUUUAAUCCGCCCCAAGACAACAUUGGACUAACUCGCUGAAAACAUAUUGGACUAAGUUUCAUUGUGUUGACUAUCGGUUGAUGUUAUUUUGGUUCUGUGCAAAUUCAACAGCUAGACUACAUUUGAAUAAUUCUCCUAAAAGACAAUUGGCCAAGUUUGAUUACUUUGUGAUUUCCUGGUGUCUUGUUUGCUGUAUUAAACAGAUUCUCCUAGAGGCGACCUUGGAUAAUAUUGAUUAAUAAGGCUUACUUAGACACAACCCCGGGAGAAAGACAUUUAUUAAUUUGGCUGUUUAUUUACUGAUAUAUAUUUUCCACGUCGUAUUUGGCCAUCUACCCUCUUCCCAUUCUCGGUAUCCCCAGUUGUGUCGUUUUCCUUCUUAUCCACUAACCCCUGUGUUCAUCCAUAGUCAAAUUAUUCGCCCUUGGAUGUAAACUUUUGGUUGGUUCGUAGAAGCAAGCUACGAUCAAGGGUAGAUUAUAUGAAUGCGUGAAAACCACGUUGAUUGACCCAGCGGUUAGUGGAGUAGAACGCAAGGAUACCACGGGGGAUACCGAGAAUGCGCUCUUCAUUGAUCUUCAGUAUGCAGGGAUAAUUUUUAAAAAACCUAUUUACACUGACCUUUUGUCGCAUUACAGCGCGAAAUGUACAGGCAAGCCACAUACACGUUGCUCUGUUUCUGCAAAUUGUCGCUGAAUUAUAACACUGAACAAACUCGUCAUAAAUAUAUCAUUCAAGACAAGGCGACAUUAACUAUUAUUGUAUUGGUUUUAAACUAAUUCCCACUUGGGCAUCAUCCGAACGCUGGCAGACACACUCGGUAAUGUCAUAUGAACCGUCCCUUAGUCAUGUGAUGGAUUUGACCAGGAUCAUUUGUUGAUUUUGAAAUUUGUAUUAUAGUGUAUAUAGUUUAUCAAACAUGUUCUGUUUCCUGUCAGGGGCCCAUUUCAUGAAGCACGAUAACAGUGCUUACAGUAAAAUAUCUCAUUUACAUCUAUCUUGUAAAAACGGUAUCUUGGUCAGUUUGCAACAGAUAAAUCUAUUAAAAUCAAUUGUCACAUAUCAAAUCCACUGUGGCCAUACCCCGUUCAGUGUUCCAUACAAAUACAUUUUAUUGCGGUUCUAAAAUGCCAAAUAUAUCAUCUUAUGAUGAUACAUUCUUGAAUUGGUUGACACAAAAGGCCUUCUAAGGAGAGCGUGACAUUUAUAUGGUAACCAAAGCUAAAACAGCCUUCAAUCAUUCUUCUGAGAUGAAAGUAAUAUUCUAUUAGGUGAGAUUUUUGUUGUUAAUGGAUGGCAUUCAAACAGUCCCGAAUGAUUGACCCGGCCGACAUGCUGUUAUUAGAGGCCCUGUCCAAUAUAUCGUAAGGAUGCCAUUGCUUGUAAAUAUCCAUUUCACGUUUAUAUAUUUAAAGUUACAAGUUCAUAUUUUCUAAGAAAGUCAAAACAUAAUUAUGUCUAUGUCUUUUGCUCAAUAGGUUGUCAACUCACUAUUAUACUAUCAUAGGUGUCAUUCUCACACUUAACACUCAUUUAUACCGGAAAUAAUAACACAGUUACCUCCCUUGUUUUCUAUUCUCCACCAUGGAGUAGCUAUCUUCAAACGUUUGAAUUUGAAGAGGAAAAUGAUAUUUUUGCCAAUUUCUCAACUGGCAAUAGUGAAUUAUAGGAUUAUUCUUUAACAAGGUAGGACUGUUUAUAGAUACCAUCUAUUUUAAGGUUUUAUUUUAAUAAAUUUUAAAAAUAUAACUUAAAAAUAUGAAAUUGCAACUUUAAAACAAGGUGUUGGUAACCAUGACUUUUUAAUAUAUGUAUAUUUAUUGUCAACGACCUUGACACCAAUCUGAUUAAAAUACAGAUCUAUAUUUCGUUUCGUUUUUUUUUUACACUUUCGAUGACCUACACCACAUGAAGAUCUGACCAGUUGUAGUAAAAGGUCGCGUCGGAAGUCGUACGAACGGCUUUUGACCCUAUGGCGUCAGACAUUGAUUAAUCAAUCAGCGUUGACGUUGCUAGUGGUUUAUCCACAGUUUCCGUGCAUCGGACGCCAAGAAGUCGCUGUUACAGAUGGUUUCAUAGGUUAAUCCCUCACGCCAUCAAGAACGCAGGUUAUAUAACAACUCUUCCAGAUUCCAUUGUAGAACAGACACGUAAAACGAAAUUUUGAACUAUAAUAAAACGAAACGAAAUAGGAUCUGUGUUUUAACCAGAUUGCCCUGAAACCAGAUUAUGUGGAAUAUAGUAGCACUUGCUUCAUUAAGCCUUAUGUUGUCGUGCACACGUCAAGUUAUAUUUUUUCAUAUUUUGUAAACUAUAAAAUAGCAAUCAGGAUUUCCUGUAUUAGUAAAAUGACCUAAUAAGGCGUUAUGGCACCGAUCUUAUUAUUUGCCCUACUUACAACGUUAUAAACAACAACGGUUUUUCUAUCCACUUUGACAUCGUGGUUUACAUGUGGUGUAUUUGUGAAUUUCUUGUUCCAUGAAAAACAUGGAAAGGGGGAUGUUAGUAAGGUGAGGAGUUAUCUCCCUUGAAUUGAAACAUGUCUGUAUAGUCCAUCUUGUAUAUAAAUAAUGUUAAUAUGUAAAUUAUUUAUCUUGUACAUCUUUGUAACACCGAAUGACAUAAACUACAUUCUAAUUAUAUCAAA